AUUGAACGCUGGCGGCAGGCCUAACACAUGCAAGUCGAACGGUAACAGGAAGAAGCUUGCUUCUUUGCUGACGAGUGGCGGACGGGUGAGUAAUGUCUGGGAAACUGCCUGAUGGAGGGGGAUAACUACUGGAAACGGUAGCUAAUACCGCAUAACGUCGCAAGACCAAAGAGGGGUACCUUCUGGCCUCUUGCCAUCGUAUGUGCCCAGAUGGGAUUAGCUAGUAGGUGGGGUAACGGCUCACCUAGGCGACGAUCCCUAGCUGUUCUGAGAGGAUGACCAGCCACACUGGAACUGAGACACGGUCCAGACUCCUACGGGAGGCAGCAGUGGGGAAUAUUGCACAAUGGGCGCAAGCCUGAUGCAGCCAUGCCGCGUGUAUGAAGAAGGCCUUCGGGUUGUAAAGUACUUUCAGCGGGGAGGAAGGGAGUAAAGUUAAUACCUUUGCUCAUUGACGUUACCCGCAGAAGAAGCACCGGCUAACUCCGUG
rnacentral:rRNA from 1 species